rnacentral:SRP_RNA from 1 species
GCCAGGUGGCGCGUGCCUGUAAUCAAGCUAGCAGGAGGCUGGCGGACCGUUUGAGCUCAGGAGCUCUGAGCUGCUCUGGACUAUGCCGACCGGGUGUCCGCACUAAGUUCGGUACCGAUAUGGUGCUCCUGGGGGAGCCCGGGACCAGCAUGUCGUCUAAGGAGGGGAGGGGAGCACCGGCCCCGGUGGGAAACGGAGCGGGUCAAAGCCCCCAUGGCGCUCAGUAGUGGGAUGGCGCCUGUGAAUAGACGCUGCAGCGCAGCCUGAGGAACACAGCGGGACUCAGAGUUU